CCUACGGGAGGCAGCAGUGAGGAAUAUUGGUCAAUGGCCGGAAGGCUGAACCAGCCAAGCCGCGUGAAGGACGAAGGUGCCAAGCAUUGUAAACUUCUUUUGUCAAGGGACAAAAUCAGGCUCGAGAGCCUGACCGAGGGUACUGGACGAAAAAGCAUCGGUAAACUCCGUGACAGCAGCCGCGGUAAUACGUAGGAGGCGAGCGUUAUCCGGAUUUAUUGGGUUUAAGGGGUGCGUAGGCGGACUGUUAAGUCAGCGGUAAAAGCCCGGGGCUCAACCCCGGCGCGCCGUUGAAACUGGGUGUCUUGAGAUGUCGAGAGGUAUGCGGAAUGCGCAGUGUAGCGGUGAAAUGCAUAGAUAUCACGCAGAACUCCGAUUGCGAAGGCAGCAUACCGGCGCCCAACUGACGCUGAAGCACGAAAGCGUGGGUAUCGAACAGGAUUAGAUACCCCAGUAGUC
rnacentral:rRNA from 1 species